CUGUCCUCCCCCCGCCACUGGAAGUCUUCCCGUCUCUAAAUGGAAUUAGUGGAGCCCGGAGCCUCUGGUGUAACGCACAGACAUGAUCCAUGGGCGCAGCGUGCUUCACAUUGUAGCAAGUUUAAUCAUCCUCCAUUUGUCUGGGGCAACCAAGAAAGGAACAGAAAAGCAAACCACCUCAGAAACACAGAAGUCAGUGCAGUGUGGAACUUGGACAAAACAUGCAGAGGGAGGUAUCUUUACCUCUCCCAACUAUCCCAGCAAGUAUCCCCCUGACCGGGAAUGCAUCUACAUCAUAGAAGAUUUACUUACGAUUCUUGGACUAUGAGAUGCAGAAUUCAAAUGAAUGCAAGAGGAAUUUUGUGGCUGUGUAUGAUGGAAGCAGUUCCGUGGAGGAUUUGAAAGCUA
rnacentral:sRNA from 1 species